rnacentral:misc_RNA from 1 species
UCUCCGUAGGUGAACCUGCGGAGGGAUCAUUACAGAGUUCGUGCCCUCGCGGGUAGAUCUCCCACCCUGUGUUAUUGCUACCUUUGUUGCUUUGGCGGGCCGCCCUCCGCUACCGGCCCCGGCUGGUACGCGCCCGCCAGAGGACCCUAAACCCUGAACGUCAGUGUCGUCUGAGUACUAUACAAUAGUUAAAACUUUCAACAACGGAUCUCUUGGUUCUG